rnacentral:rRNA from 1 species
ACUCCUACGGGAGGCAGCAGUGGGGAAUCUUGCGCAAUGGGCGAAAGCCUGACGCAGCAACGCCGCGUGGAGGAUGAAGGCCCUUGGGUUGUAAACUCCUGUCGGCUGGGAAGAAAUCGUUCGCGGCUAAUACCCGCGGACGUUGACUGUACCAGCAAAGGAAGCCCCGGCUAACUCUGUGCCAGCAGCCGCGGUAAU